rnacentral:rRNA from 1 species
GUGGGGAAUAUUGGGCAAUGGGCGAAAGCCUGACCCAGCAACGCCGCGUGAAGGAAGAAGGUCUUCGGAUCGUAAACUUCUAUCCUUGGUGAAGAUAAUGACGGUAGCCGAGAAGGAAGCCCCGGCUAACUACGUGCCAGCAGCCGCGGUAAUACGUAGGGGGCAAGCGUUGUCCGGAAUGAGUGGGCGUAAAGGGCGCGUAGGCGGGCGGGUAAGUCUGGAGGGAAAGUCCUGCUUUUAAGGUGGGAAUUGCUUUGGUUACUGUCGGGCUUGAGUGCAGGAGAGGUAAGUGGAAUUCCCGGUGUAGCGGUGAAAUGCGUAGAGAUCGGGAGGAACACCAGUGGCGAAGGCGACUUACUGGACUGUAACUGACGCUGAGGCGCGAAAGUGUGGGGAGCAAACAGGAUUAGAAACCCGAGUAGUCC